CCUACGGGAGGCAGCAGUGGGGAAUAUUGCACAAUGGGGGAAACCCUGAUGCAGCAACGCCGCGUGAAGGAAGACGGUCUUCGGAUUGUAAACUUCUGUUCUUAGGGAAGAAGAAUGACGUGAGCUAAGGACCAAGCCACGGCUAACUACGUGCCAGCAGCCUCGGUAAUACGUAGGGGGCAAGCGUCGCCCGGAAUUACUGGGUGUAAAGGGAGCGCAGGCGGGAAGCCAAGUCAGCUGUGAAAACUACGGGCUUAACUUGUAUACUGCAGUUGAAACUGGUUGUCUUGAGUGAAGUAGAGGUUGGCGGAAUUCCGGGUGUAGCGGUGAAAUGCGUAGAUAUUCGGAAGAACACCGGUGGCGAAGGCGGCGGACUGGGCUUUAACUGACGCUGAGGCUCGAAAGCGUGGGGAGCAAACAGGAUUAGAUACCCCAGUAGUC
rnacentral:rRNA from 1 species